rnacentral:rRNA from 1 species
UAAGCAUAUCACUAAGCGGAGGAAAAGAAACUAACAAGGAUUGCCCCAGUAACGGAGAGUGAAGGGGGAAGAGCUCGCGAUGUGAAUCGAGCCUUCGGGCCCGAAUUGUAGUCUGGAGAGGCGAWGCCUGCCGCUGUCCGCGGCCAAGUCUGAUUGGAAAUGAGCAUCAUGGAGGGUGAUAAUCCCGUUCUUGCCGCGGUAUCCAUCAGCGCGCACAAGGCCCGUUUUCGAAGAGUCGAGUUGCUUGGGAUUGCAGCUCAAAUCGGGUGGUAAACUCCAUCCAAAGCUAAACACGGGGGGGAGACCGAUAGCGAACAAGUACCGUGAGGGAAAGAUGCAAAGAACUUUGAAAAGAGAGUUAAAGAGUGCCUGAAAUUGCUGGGAGAGAAGCGAAGGAAAGAGGCGUGCGGUCGCCGGAGCGCCAACCCCCAUUCUUGCCCUCGUGGUGUGGGGGUAGGCCGCUCCGCCGCUGUCAGCGCGUGCGCCGGGGUCGCGGGAUGCUCCGCGCGGGAUCGGUAGCCCUCCCCGUUCAUUCGGGGAAGGUGUCAGGCCCGCGUCUGCAGUACCACGACAUUGUCCCGGCCGGUCUCUGGCGAUCGCCGCUUUUCUUCACCCCGUCUUGAAACACGGACCAAGGAGUCUAACA